rnacentral:rRNA from 1 species
UACGUAGGAGGCGAGCGUUGUCCGGAGUUACUGGGCGUAAAGGGUGCGUAGGCGGCCGCGCGCGUGGGGGGUGAAAUCUCUCGGCUUACCCGGGAGGGGGCUUUCCAGACGGCGUGGCUUGAGGGACGGAGAGGGGCGUGGAAUUCCGGGUGGAGCGGUGAAAUGCGUAGAGAUCCGGAGGAACACCGAUGGCGAAGGCAGCCCCCUGGGCUAACACUGACGCUCAGGCACGAAAGCGUGGGGAGCAAACAGG